rnacentral:rRNA from 1 species
AGGAAAAGAAACCAACAGGGAUUGCCCCAGUAACGGCGAGUGAAGCGGCAACAGCUCAAAUUUGAAAUCUGGCCCCCGGGCCCGAGUUGUAAUUUGCAGAGGAUGCUUUUGGCGAGGCGCCUUCCGAGUUCCCUGGAACGGGACGCCAUAGAGGGUGAGAGCCCCGUCUGGUUGGAUGCCGAGCCUCUGUAAAGCUCCUUCGACGAGUCGAGUAGUUUGGGAAUGCUGCUCUAAAUGGGAGGUAUAUGUCUUCUAAAGCUAAAUAUUGGCCAGAGACCGAUAGCGCACAAGUAGAGUGAUCGAAAGAUGAAAAGCACUUUGAAAAGAGGGUUAAACAGUACGUGAAAUUGUUGAAAGGGAAGCGCUUGUGACCAGACUUGGGCCCGGCGGAUCACCCAGCGUUCUCGCUGGUGCACUCCGGCGGGCCCAGGCCAGCAUCAGCUCGUCCCGGGGGACAAAGGCUCUGGGAAUGUGGCUCCUCCGGAGUGUUAUAGCCCUCUGCGCAAUGCCCUGGGGCGGGCUGAGGAUCGCGCAUCGCGCAAGGAUGCUGGCGUAAUGGUCAUCAGCG